rnacentral:tRNA from 1 species
CGGGGUGUAGCGUAGCCUGGUAGCGCGCUGGUUUGGGACCAGGAUGUCGGGAGUUCAAAUCUCUCCACCCCGACCA